rnacentral:lncRNA from 1 species
CCCAUCAGCUUUUCUUUUUUAUUUUUUUUUUUUGUAUAUCAAAACAAAUGAUUUGAUAUUUACAAGGACAGAAUGUGGAAAAUGGUGUAUAGUUUUACAUCAACACUGACACUUAUACAUUAUUAUUGCAUUUGUCAGUGGCAUUUAGAGCAGUUGGCUUUUUGAAAUAAAGCAUGUAUUCAGUAGAGUAUCAUUAAGAGCAACUGAAUUGCCCUUCAUCUGUUUCUGGAGCUCUAAGGACUAAAAAGCAGUGUCUGGAAUCUCUAUCAGCAUCAGCUGCCUUUUUGUUUUGUUUUGUUUUGUUUUUUCUUACCUUUUGCAACCUUACUGUUUUGAACUGCCUUUUAGCUGGGCACAUUCAGUGUUUUUCCCUUGAUUAUCAAUCUAGUACUUGUUUCCCCACAUAAAUUGUGCCAACCCAGGAAACAACAUGCCUUGCAUUUCCU